rnacentral:lncRNA from 1 species
CUUCAGCACUGUCCUCAGUUGGCCUGAGGCAGCCCUCCUGUCUGUCAGUCACUGCAGGCGGGCACACAGCUGCCCAGACCUCCAUUCUCGGAGGGGCGUCUGAGCGGCACUUCACAGCUGUUUCAGGCUGCUGCUGCUGCUGCUGCUGCUGCGUCACUUCAGUCGUGUCCAACUCUGUGUGACCCCACAGAUGGCAGCCCACUAGGCUCCGCCUUCCCUGGGAUUCUCCAGGCAAGAACACUGGAGUGGGUUGCCAUUUCCUUCUCCAAUGCGUGAAAGUGAAAGUGAAGUUGCUCAGUAAGUGUCCGACUCUUCGUGACUCCAUGGACUACAGCCUACCAGGCUCCUCCGUCCAUGGGAUUUUCCAGGCAAGAGUACUGGAGUGGGUUGCCAUUGCCUUCUCCGUUUCAGGCUAGAUGAGGCUAAGGCCUGGCUACAAUGCAAGGGAAGGGAAAACAUCCUGAGAUGUGGGGAUGGUUGGACAGAGAUCCCACAGGAAGUGUUAUUAAGCCUGUGUAUGUCUCUCUGAGAACACCACCUUUAGAAUAAAAAGCCUAAUUCAUCUUCUAGACUCUGACCAACCACAUAAUCAUGUCACGUAUGUCUGGGGAUGGGGUGAUGGGGAGGAGGUGGUGGUGAGGUUCAUACCUUUCACCUCAUUUCAUCUUUGGGAGGAGAUGGCAGCUGUGGAGACUCCCGAAAGAUCAAAUGGAAAAAUCUAUUUUCUCCACUGUCUAGAGAUUUCAGUCAGGUAAUUCCUCUUCUGUUUGCCUGGAGAACGGGCUUGCUUGGAGAGUAUAGUGUUAGAUGAUGGGGGUACUGCAGGGCCAUGCAAGGGGGUGACUAUGAUUAUAUGUGACCAGAGGAUCCAGGAGUACACAAAUCCUGCCUUGGUCCACCUAUUCUUCUUAUGAGCUUCCUCAAAGAGAUGUAUGCAAAAAUAACUCUGUUAUUAGCUCAAAGUAAGGAUGGCCUGGAUCAGGUGUUAACUUUCUCUUCUUGAGACCAGAGGCAGUCCAAGGGGCAAGUAAAGUCUGAAUGACAUAGUUUUCUCCC